CACAAUUUAUAAGCAUCAGGUACUGAAACAAGUUUAAUAGGGAAUCCCGUGAGAACCGGGAACGGUCCCGCCGCUGUAAACGGGGACGAAAUCCGACAAGGCCACUUUUUCGUUUUUUUAGCUUAAGCGAGAUGGGAAGGCUCGGAGAGUAGAGCGAUCCGUGAGUCAGAAGACCUGCCUGAUGCCGUUUGGCGAAC
rnacentral:ncRNA from 1 species